CCUACGGGAGGCAGCAGUGAGGAAUAUUGGUCAAUGGACGAGAGUCUGAACCAGCCAAGUAGCGUGAAGGAUGACUGCCCUAUGGGUUGUAAACUUCUUUUAUAUGGGAAUAAAAUGUUCCACGUGCGUGAUAUUGUAUGUACCAUAUGAAUAAGGAUCGGCUAACUCCGUGCCAGCAGCCGCGGUAAUACGGAGGAUGCGAGCGUUAUCCGGAUUUAUUGGGUGUAAAGGGUGCGUAGGUGGAUUGGUAAGUCAGUUGUGAAAGUUUGGGGCUCAACCCUAAAAUUGCAGUUGAAACUGGCAGUCUUGAGUACAGGAGAGGUGAGCGGAAUUCGUGGUGUAGCGGUGAAAUGCUUAGAUAUCACGAAGAACUCCGAUUGCGAAGGCAGCUUACUGGACUGCAACUGACGCUGAGGCUCGAAAGUGUGGGUAUCAAACAGGAUUAGAUACCCUGGUAGUC
rnacentral:rRNA from 1 species